rnacentral:rRNA from 2 species
GGGUCCGGCCGGCGGGGGUUAAGUCCACUGGAAAGUGGCGCCACAGAGGGUGACAGCCCCGUGAACCCCUUUAACGCCCUCAUCCCAGAUCUCCAAGAGUCGAGUUGUUUGGGAAUGCAGCUCUAAGUGGGUGGUAAAUUCCAUCUAAAGCUAAAUACCGGCGAGAGACCGAUAGCGAACAAGUACAGUGAUGGAAAGAUGAAAAGCACUUUGAAAAGAGAGUGAAAAAGUACGUGAAAUUGUUGAAAGGGAAGGGCUUGCAAGCAAACACUUAACUGGGCCAGCAUCGGGGCGGCGGGAAGCAAAACCACCGGGGAAUGUACCUUUCGAGGAUUAUAACCCCGGCCCUUACUCCCAUACUGCCCCGAGGCCUGCAAUCUAAGGAUGCUGGCGUAAUGGUUGCAAGUCGCCCGUCUU